UGGAUGUUUCCUCCCCAAGGGGAGAUUUACAAAUUUCAUACGAACUGUUCCUGUAGGAAAUGCUUUCUCUGAUUGCCACAGAAAUGGCUGUGGAAGGAAAGAGGUUAGAGGGUAUGGUUCACUUCAGAUUUGUCCAGGAUAUGCAUAGCUGAAGAUGCACUUUGGUUUUAAGAUAACUCCUGUGCCAUAUUCCAUAAACAUGAACUGCCUGUAUGUGAGAUGGCUUAAAAAUAACUGGAAAUCUCUCAUCUGCAGCCUGUCUUUUUGCAGUUCUUUGCUCUUGGUGCUGCUGAGUGCUCAGACACUCCAGAGCGAUGCUGGAGGUAAGAGCUACCAAAGAACACUGCAAAUAGUUAUGCCCUCUUCUACAAACAGGCACACUGUUUGAACCUGCAUUUAGCAGGAGUUCAAGCAGUUUCUCAGUCCCUUAAUAGCUACAAGGCAUAAGGCAAGGACAAAGGAGCCAGGGCAUAAAUUAACACGCAUGUGGAAAUCCUGACUCAGAAAAGCAUGCUAGGGGAUCAAGGCAAGGCCUAAAGUGCUUCUGAGCACUGGGUUCAUUUAUUCACCAGGAAGAUCAAGGAGAUUUAUCUUCAGAAGAAGCAGAAGUAAUAACGUGGUCAUCAGCAAGAUUUCUCCAAGUACUUACUCCCAUAAAUAUCCACUGGGACGAUAGAGUUCCCUAAUGGAAUGGUGUUGAAAGAGUUGCCAGAAUAAUUAGUUUUCUAUUAGGAUACACAAGACAUUUGAUACCUUUCAAAACUGUUGUUUUGGUCUCUCCACAGGCACAAAUACCGUGGUUAUUCUGGAUUUGCCUACUUACAUUUUUCUUCAGAGCAGAGAGGUUUACAAGAGCCCUAUUUUUAAUUUAAGAUCCUGAGAUAAUUACAUGACUUCAGUAGGCAAGAGACUCAUUGUACUGUGACUCAAUCCAGGCAGGCAUGCAAGUAAGAGACUAGACAAGGCACUAAGAAAUAAUAAGAAAGCUCUUUUUUGUACACAAAAAGUCACAUUAAACUCGUAUUAAAAAGGCUGGAAAUUGAAGAACUUGGCAAUCACAAAACAGCAGAAUGGAGGUUGAUUCUACAAAUGUUAAUUAGCCCUUUUGCCCAUUUAUAUUAUUAUAAACCCCUUAAUUACCUGAUCAGAUCUUUUUCCAGAGGACUUCUGUCUUGAGGUUAGAUAUCACUGCCAGCUUUUUUUUUUAUCAUUAGCUUACUUUUUAACAGGGAACAUGAACUGAAUGUAGCAAUUGCUUUCCAUUAAUUUUUCUGUUUUAUGGUGAUCUGUUCUUAUAGUACAAGGCUGCAGGGAAUACCAGAGAGCACACCCCACACAAAGAACCCUAUCCUGCAGCUUUCCACAAGUCUGGCAGAGAAGGCUGCUACAUGUAGGCUGCAGGUGUCUGCCCUCUGUGAAGUGGAUGGAAAGCAGAGGAUGCAGGCUGGGGUCUGGAUGGUGAUGUGCUGCUGCUCCAGGAACUGAGAAAUAGCAGCUGGGUGACAAUGGUUCCAGAGCUGCCGUGGAAGGGCAGGGGGUGACACUGAGGAACACUGCAUGGAGCCUUUUGUUAGAUGCAACAUCAAGGCAAGGAAGGUGCUACAAGAAAUGGGAAGAGUCAUUACAUGCGACCAAAGGUUUUAUGUGGAUCAGGCUCAGCUGGUACAGACUCACGUUUCAGUGUUUAGCAGCAAAGGCAGCGAAGAUGCAGAAACAUCCCUGAGCACAUUGCAGGUGUGUCCCAUUAUUAAAGCCAUCGCUCUGUCCUGUCACGUAUCCCCAAAGGCUGGUGGCUCUUCUGGAG